UGAGGAAUAUUGCACAAUGGGCGCAAGCCUGAUGCAGCGACGCCGCGUGAGUGAAGAAGGCCUUCGGGUCGUAAAGCUCUUUUCUGCGUGACGAGGAAGGACGGUAGCGCAGGAAUAAGUCUCGGCUAACUACGUGCCAGCAGCCGCGGUAAAACGUAGGAGACAAACGUUAUCCGGAGUUACUGGGCGUAAAGGGCGUGCAGGUGGUCUGUUAAGUCUGGCGUGAAAGCUCUCGGCUAAACCGGGAGAGGUCGUUGGAUACUGGCGGACUAGAGGACGGUAGAGGCGUGUGGAAUUCCGGGUGUAGUGGUGAAAUGCGUAGAGAUCCGGAGGAACACCAGUGGCGAAGGCGACACGCUGGGCCGUACCUGACACUAAGACGCGACAGCAUGGGGAGCGA
rnacentral:rRNA from 1 species